CCUCGAUCCCGACACGGCCAUCCUGCUUGCACACGUCCUCGUGUGACAGCUCAUCUGUGACAGAAAAUUACACGCAAAGUAUCAUAUAGCUCGGUCAUUCCUGACCACAUUCCACACACAAUUAAAAAAAGCAUCAUACUGUUAGGUUCACGCAUCACAGCCGUUCUUUCCUAUAAAAAUUAUAAACUACUCAGUACAACUCUAGAAACUCCCGAGUAAGACAUCUAGUACGCCCCGGCUCUCUAGCCGACCAGCAAUCACAUUGCUGACUUCCAUCACAUGGCCCCUAGCAUGCCCUUACUCGAGUCCACGAGCAAGUCACCUAGUGCCCCGGCUCUCAAGCCGACCAGCAAUCACAUUGUUGACAUCCAUCACAUGGAUCUCCCGUGCGUCACCACCUGGUAACCACGCAACUAACAACAAUGGCCCCUGGCAUGCCCUUACUCGAGUCCACGAGCAAUGCACCCAGUGCCCCGGCUCCGGCCCCGGCCGGCGAACACAAAACGAGCACAUACAAUCGCCGACCCCCGUCAGAGCCAAACUCGCAUCGCGCACCGAACGGACUCUCGAGGCGACACUCGGAGAUUCCGUUUGCGACCGGGUUGCGAAUACGUGACCGCUACUGAGGUGAUCGAACACAAACAUACCGAACACAGACAGCCGCCGACCCCCGUCAGAGCCAAACUCGUACCGCGCACCGAACGGACUCUCGAGGCGACACUCGGAGAUUCCGUUUGUGACCGGGUUGCGAAUACGCGACCGCUACUGAGGUGAUCGGACACAAACAUACAACAAACGAAUAGAGACAGCACAAACACAUAAUGGCUUCUAGAGUCCCCUUACCCGAGUUUCUACCGAGCUUCAUUAACUUCAUCAAAACCAAUCUCGGCUGAUGCGUGACCUUCUAAAACUUGAACCAUCAUCCUCAUAAAAAUCUUACUUAACUCGUUACUAUGUAUCGAAACAAAUCAAUAUCAAAACCAGUGAAACUGAUAUUUAACAAACAUAGUUACUCACAAAAUAAUUAUUCUAACAAGAAUUGCAUUCAAGCUUUACAAGUGAUCACGGCUACGCACAGUUCAGUAACGCACAGUUAAUCAUUUUCUCUCGCGUUAACCCCACAUGGUAAUACCGAGUCUCUGCUAGACUCCAUGGUUUCCACUGAAACCCUCAUUAACAAACAUCUUUUAAACUACGAUCACCUUGCAAACUCAAACACAGGUUCUACUACCUUCAACUACUCUAAUAAUCUACCCUCUAAGGUAUCUGCUAUUUGAACUACUUUAUCUGAAUUAUGUCAGUUUAACUUUAAUUCGUCGGCAUAUUUUUCUAAGUACCUACGUGUACGUGAAUGUGUGUACAUGAUGUAAGUGUGAGUAUGUGCUUGUGAGUAAAGACCCAACAGCCAUGUUUUUCACGGGUGCGGUCUCAAUGCGAGUUUGUGCAGACCCAUCACCACAUGGUUCUCAUGUGUGCGGUCCGAGUGUGAGUGUGUGCAUAGAGCCAUCGCCUCAUGUUCCUCAUGAGCGCGGUCCAGUGUGUACACUGACCAUCGCCUCAUGCUCCUCAUGAGCGCGGUCCAUUGUGUCAGACCCAUCUCCACAUGUUACUCAUGCGGUGCGGUCCACAAUGUCGAGUGUUUAGGGCAUGAGUGUGAAUGAUGAGUGUUGAGUACGAAUAGUCACGAUGUGUACAGGAAAUUCUACCACUUACAUUUCACAAAAUUCUCGAGGAACCUAGUGAUCAGAUAUCCUCCUCAUCCUUAUUCGUCAGAAUAUCGUAUACCUACUGUAUCUCAAUUUAGAUUUCUAGGCAUUUUACCUAACUUAAACUAUUCAAUUUAGAUGCCCUAUCAAUAUAAAAGCGCAACCACCGCUUAAACAGCCAUUCUACCCGCAGCUAGAACUACAAUACUCAUAAUGGUAAAAAGGUGAAAUGUCAAUAUCGCCUUUUAAUGAAUUAUUAAAAUAAUUUUCAAUGUACCUACAUCUUUCAUACAAAAUUGUAAUCAUGUACUAUGAAAUCAAUUAUUAAAACAUGAAAUGUCUAAUAUCAUUGUACCGUCAAAUCAAAAUCAAAUUAAAUGAAUAGCCAACAUCGAAUGUUUCGAGGUUACCACAUGAUAGUCACUCGCAAGGACUCCCAAGUCACUACAAGUCAGCUACGACCUGUGUUAUGGACUCGAGCCCCCGUCGCAGUAACGACUGUGAUAAACCCUCACGGUACAGUACAAUAAAUCAGAAUGUUUCGAUCUCUAGAAUUACUACAUUAGGCUCUAAGUACACCGGUCCUGAUGAUUAGAUAACUGUCAUGAAUUUUGUUUAGAACUAUCUAUUCUUGCUUAACACAUUACAAAUCUCAACCUAACAAUAUACAACACAGAAUAACAUUACCCAACAGACGUCAUUCUAAUGACUCUUCAACUGAUCUCGGUUCUAAAACAUCACGACUAAGUUUUUAUUAUGACUACCCGACAAAAGUAAAAUAAUACUUCUGAUCGCAAAAUCAACAAUCCUAAACUGGAAACGCUGACUCAUUUUCAUCCUAUAAAGUAUUUGGUAUCAGAAUCAUAAUAAAAGGAACAAGGUCACCUGAAUAUUCCCGAUGAUGCAGUGUCCAACUGCAGACAUCAAUACGCUUCUCACCAUACGCCGCGCUUACGCUGCGUCACCUGGCCCGCUGCCGCUGCCACCGCGCGCCCUGGUUCGCUGCCGCUGUCGCCGCGUCCCCAGGUCUGCUGCCGUCGCCGCGUUCCCUGGUCCGCUACAGUCGCCGCGUCCCCAGGUCUGCUGCCGUCGCCGCGUUCCCUGGUCCGCUACAGUCGCCGCGUCUCCUGGUCCGCUGCAGUCGCCGCUGCUCGUGUACCAGAUGACGAUGUGCUGUGCUGGGGUUGGAUUUGAAUGCACCCCAAGCUGAGCCUUGCAUCGCAGUCUUCUUUGUUGGGGUCGAAUGCAAGUAGUUCUCGAUGAAUCAGCUCCGAUGAUUUCAACAUCUUCAAUCGUCCGGGUCCAUCUCACUUCUGAUGUCGGAGAUAGGAGAUCUCUCACUUUCGAUAUGUCGGUGAAAGGAGAAUCUCACUACUCAUGUCAGGAAUACUUGUGGGCGUUAUGACGAAGGUAGCAGUAAAAUAAUAAAGUCUUCGAUAUGGAA